rnacentral:rRNA from 1 species
CGUGCUUGCACUGAUUUCAACAAUGAAGCGAGUGGCGAACUGGUGAGUAACACGUGGGAAAUCUGCCCAGAAGCAGGGGAUAACACUUGGAAACAGGUGCUAAUACCGUAUAACAACAAAAUCCGCAUGGAUUUUGUUUGAAAGGUGGCUUCGGCUAUCACUUCUGGAUGAUCCCGCGGCGUAUUAGUUAGUUGGUGAGGUAAAGGCCCACCAAGACGAUAAUACGUAGCCAACCUGAGAGGGUAAUCGGCCACAUUGGGACUGAGACACGGCCCAAACUCCUACGGGAGGCAGCAGUAGGGAAUCUUCCACAAUGGACGAAAGUCUGAUGGAGCAAUGCCGCGUGAGUGAAGAAGGGUUUCGGCUCGUAAAACUCUGUUGUUAAAGAAGAACACCUUUGAGAGUAACUGUUCAAGGGUUGACGGUAUUUAACCAGAAAGCCACGGCUAACUACGUGCCAGCAGCCGCGGUAAUACGUAGGUGGCAAGCGUUGUCCGGAUUUAUUGGGCGUAAAGCGAGCGCAGGCGGUUUUUUAAGUCUGAUGUGAAAGCCUUCGGCUUAACCGGAGAAGUGCAUCGGAAACUGGGAGACUUGAGUGCAGAAGAGGACAGUGGAACUCCAUGUGUAGCGGUGGAAUGCGUAGAUAUAUGGAAGAACACCAGUGGCGAAGGCGGCUGUCUAGUCUGUAACUGACGCUAAGGCUCGAAAGCAUGGGUAGCGAACAGGAUUAGAUACCCUGGUAGUCCAUGCCGUAAACGAUGAGUGCUAAGUGUUGGAGGGUUUCCGCCCUUCAGUGCUGCAGCUAACGCAUUAAGCACUCCGCCUGGGGAGUACGACCGCAAGGUUGAAA